rnacentral:misc_RNA from 1 species
GAGGGAUCAUUACCGAGUUAUACAACUCAUCAACCCUGUGAACAUACCUAAAACGUUGCUUCGGCGGGAACAGACGGCCCCGUAACACGGGCCGCCCCCGCCAGAGGACCCCCUAACUCUGUUUCUAUUAUGUUUCUUCUGAGUAAAACAAGCAAAUAAAUUAAAACUUUCAACAACGGAUCUCUUGGCUCUGGCAUCGAUGAAGAACGCAGCGAAAUGCGAUAAGUAAUGUGAAUUGCAGAAUUCAGUGAAUCAUCGAAUCUUUGAACGCACAUUGCGCCCGCCAGUAUUCUGGCGGGCAUGCCUGUUCGAGCGUCAUUACAACCCUCAGGCCCCCGGGCCUGGCGUUGGGGAUCGGCGAGGCGCCCCCUGCGGGCACACGCCGUCCCCCAAAUACAGUGGCGGUCCCGCCGCAGCUUCCAUUGCGUAGUAGCUAACACCUCGCAACUGGAGAGCGGCGCGGCCACGCCGUAAAACACCCAACUUCUGAAUGUUGACCUCGAAUCAGGUAGGAAUACCCGCUGAACUUAAGC